rnacentral:tRNA from 1 species
UGGCUCAGUCAGUAGAGCAUGGGACUUUUGAUCUCAAGGUUGUGAAUUUGAGCCUCAC